rnacentral:rRNA from 1 species
CGGGGUGCACCAGGCGCGAAAACUUUACAAUGCCGGCAACGGCGAUAAGGGAACCUCGAGUGCCAGGUUACAAAUCUGGCUGUCGUGAUGCCUAAAAAGCAUUGCAUAGCAAGGGCCGGGCAAGACCGGCGCCAGCCGCCGCGGUAACACCGGCGGCUCGAGUGGUAACCGUUAUUAUUGGGUCUAAAGGGUCUGUAGCCGGCCGGGUAAGUCUCUUGGGAAAUCUGGCAGCUUAACUGUCAGGCUUUCAGGAGAUACUGCCUGGCUCGAGGCCGGGAGAGGUGAGAGGUACUUCAGGGGUAGGGGUGAAAUCUUGUAAUCCUUGAAGGACCACCAGUGGCGAAGGCGUCUCACCAGAACGGACCUGACGGCAAGGGACGAAAGCUAGGGGCACGAACCGGAUUAGAUACCCGGGUAGUCCUAGCCGUAAACGAUACUCGCUAGGUGUCGGCCACGGUGCGACCGUGGUCGGUGCCGUAGGGAAGCCGUGAAGCGAGCCACCUGGGAAGUACGGCCGCAAGGCUGAAACUUAAAGGAAUUGGCGGGGGAGCACAAGGGCGAUUGC